UCGAAACGGCAGCGCGGGAAGCUUGCUUCCUGGCGGCGAGUGGCGGACGGGUGAGUACAACUUAGGAAUCUGCCCUUUAGUGGGGGACAACACGGCGAAAGCCGUGCUAAUACCGCAUACGCCCUUCGGGGGAAAGCGGGGGAUCUUCGGACCUCGCGCUAAUGGAUGAGCCUAAGCCGGAUUAGCUUGUUGGUGGGGUAAAGGCCUACCAAGGCGACGAUCCGUAGCUGGUCUGAGAGGACGAUCAGCCACACUGGGACUGAGACACGGCCCAGACUCCUACGGGAGGCAGCAGUGGGGAAUAUUGGACAAUGGGCGAAAGCCUGAUCCAGCAAUGCAGCGUGGUGUGAAGAAGGCCUGCGGGUUGUAAAGCACUUUCAGUAGAGAAGAAAAGCCUGGGGUUAAUAACUCCGGGUCUUGACGUAACCUACAGAAAGAAGCACCGGCUAACUCCGUGCCAGCAGCCGCGGUAAUACGGAGGGUGCGAGCGUUAAUCGGAAUUACUGGGCGUAAAGCGCGCGUAGGCGGUUUACGUAAGUUGGAGGUGAAAGCCCCGGGCUUAACCUGGGAAUUGCAUCCAAAACUGCGUGACUAGAGUAUG
rnacentral:rRNA from 1 species